rnacentral:misc_RNA from 1 species
CGAUACACGUGCACGUACGCGGGUUAGCAUUUUUGGCAGCAGCAGGAAGAAAGGAACACGCUGGACCAACUGGGAGCAGAGAAGUCUUCUUCUUUUUGAGUUUUUCAGUCAUUGAAUCGAAGAUAAAUAAAACCAAACAUGUCUAAGGGACCAGCAGUUGGUAUUGAUCUUGGAACAACAUACUCAUGUGUUGGAGUAUUCCAGCAUGGAAAAGUAGAAAUCAUUGCCAAUGACCAAGGAAACAGAACAACUCCAAGCUAUGUAGCCUUCACAGAUACUGAGCGUCUGAUUGGAGAUGCAGCAAAGAACCAGACAGCCAUGAAUCCCACUAACACAAUCUUUGAUGCAAAGCGUCUCAUUGGUCGGGACUUCACAGAUACCAAUGUCCAACUAGAUAUGAAACAUUGGCCUUUCACAGUUGUUAAGGAUGGCAAAAGACCGAAGAUUCAAGUGGAGUUUAAAGCAGAGACCAAGACCUUCAAUGCUGAGGAGAUCAGUUCCAUGGUCCUCGUAAAGAUGAAAGAGACUGCAGAAGCAUACCUAGGAAAGAAAGUAACAGAUGCUGUUGUCACAGUACCAGCAUACUUCAAUGAUUCUCAGAGACACGCAACCAAGGAUGCUGGUGUGAUUGCUGGUCUUAACGUCUUACGUAUCAUCAAUGAACCUACUGCUGCUGCUAUUGCUUAUGGACUGGACAAGAAGACUGCUGAAGAGCCGGAGCGUAAUGUCUUGAUUUUUGACCUGGGAGGUGGCACCUUUGAUGUCUCUGUGCUGUCGAUAGAUGAGGGCAUCUUUGAAGUCAAGGCAACAUCUGGAGACACUCACUUAGGAGGAGAGGAUUUUGAUAACCGCAUGGUCAAGUUUUUCAUUGAAGAGUUCAAGAGGAAGCAGAAGAAAGAUAUCACUUCAAACAAGAGGGCUGUUAGGAGACUGAGAACGGCUUGUGAAAGGGCCAAGAGAACACUCUCAUCUACUACACAAGCUAACAUCGAGAUUGACUCGCUUUUUGAAGGCAUAGACUUCUAUACCUCCAUCACACGUGCAAGAUUUGAGGAGAUGAACGGUGACCUCUUCCGCGGAACUCUGGAACCCGUCGAGAAAGCUCUCCGUGACUCAAAGUUUGACAAAAAUCAAAUUCAUGACAUUGUUCUUGUUGGUGGCUCAACCAGGAUCCCCAAAAUCCAGAAGCUCUUGCAAGAUUUCUUCAAUGGAAAGGAACUCAACAAGAGCAUCAACCCAGACGAGGCUGUAGCCUAUGGUGCAGCUGUCCAAGCUGCUAUCCUCUCUGGUGACAAGUCUGAAGAAGUUUCAGGUCUUCUACUUCUUGAUGUUGCCCCACUAUCCAUGGGUAUCGAGACAGCUGGUGGGGUCAUGACCUCUCUGAUCAAGAGGAAUUCAACCAUCCCAACGAAGCAGACACAAACAUUCACAACCUAUGCUGAUAACCAGCCAGGUGUGCUCAUCCAAGUCUACGAAGGCGAGCGUGUAAUGACCAAAGACAAUAAUAUACUUGGGAAGUUUGAGCUGGCUGGAAUCCCACCAGCACCUAGGGGAGUCCCCCAGAUCGAUGUAUCCUUUGACAUUGAUGCCAAUGGUAUCCUGAAUGUAUCUGCAGUGGAUAAGAGUACUGGCAAAGAGAACAAAAUCACCAUCACCAAUGAUAGAGAUCGUCUUUCGAAAGAAGAGGUUGAGAGGAUGGUUGCAGAGGCUGAGAAGUACAAGGAAGAUGACGAGAAGGUGAAAGAAAAGAUUGCAGCAAAGAAUGCCCUUGAGAGCUAUGCUUACAACAUGAAGAGCACCAUGGAAGAUGAGAAGAUCAAGGACAAGGUUCCAGAAGAAGACAAGACUAAGAUCCUUGACAAGUGCAAGGAAGUAUUGGAUUGGCUGGACUCCAACCAGACUGCCGAGAAGGAUGAGUUUGAGCACCAACAAAAGGAACUAGAAGGUGUCUGUACACCAAUUAUCACCAAGAUGUACCAAGCUGCAGGCGGUGCUCCUGGUGGUAUGCCAGGUGGCAUGCCUGGUGGUAUGCCUGGCGGUAUGCCCGGCGGUAUGCCUGGUGGUAUGCCCGGUGGAGACAGUGGUACCGGUGGUGGCCCCACCAUUGAGGAGGUUGAUUAAAUACACGGCCAGAAAAACAGAACAGGCAUGCGACUUUCCCAUCAUAAAAUGGCAAAAUAUAUUCACAUUUGUAUUGUGCUUUAUUGGUGUUCGAUGAAUAUGUCUAAUCACCUGAUGGACACAAGUUCAAUUACUAGUAAUACAUGAAAUCAAGGACAAAUUACUAAUAUAUGAAAUCAAAGACUAAUUAUUUUAAGGCUUUUGGUAUUAGUGAACAGUGGAAGCACAAUUCAGAUUUCAUUCCCUAGUUCUAUCACCUUGUGAGUUUUCAAAAAUGAUCCAAAUACAUCUAAGUUUGUUCAGUAAACAGUGGGAUUCAUUACAAGAGAAGUGUCAUUGUGUGUACUGUCUUUCAUUGCUUUUAUCAAUUAGAUUAUUAAUAUCAAAUACUCCCAAGUACUUAACAUUAAAAAAGAGAAGAUUUUGGGGGUGAAAGAUUUCAAGAAUCACAAAAUCUUUUCUAUUUCGAAACAGCACCAUGAUCCAUAAAAACUUCUCAGAUAUUGUUUUGUAUGACAGCUGAAUACCUCGUGUUUAUAUGGGACUCUUUCAUUUAAAAAAGAGUGUUGGAGAUGGUUGUGCUUUUUUCUCAGGGUAUGUUUAUUCUAUUUUGUCUACCGUGAUUAUUCCUAACAGGAGCAAAAAGUGAGGUCAAAUGUUUGUAUACAUUAAGAUAUUUAUGCAAAUAACUGCCUGUGCAUGUAUUUACAAAAUAUUUUGGAGAAAUGCCUCUAAUGGAAGUCUUCAGAUUCGCCUCAUUCCAAUAUUAGAAUGUGUGAUUUAUUUUUUGUGUACAUUGAUAUACAAUAUGACUUUCUAUCUAGGAAACAUUGAAUGGUAUUACUGCUUAUUUAUAAGGGUUUUUUGCCCAUUCCUAUCAAAGUGUGUGAUGUAAUAUGGUUCUUUGGUAUACAAUGCCUUGUCUACACAAAUCAUGUUGCCUAUUUCAAAAGCUGUAAGUUACAUGUAUGUAUCAAUUUCUUGUCGGUAUUUAUUUUGUUUUAAAUGUGUGUAUCAAGUAUGUUCUGUACAAUCAUUAAUGUAAGACAAUCCUGACUUCAUUAUUUUUCCUGUGGUUUCAAGGUAUUAUUUGCCCUUUUCUGAAUAUUUAUGAUGACUGAUUGUGUCAUUCCUUACUGUUUCUCGUGAAUAAAUAAAGUUAUCAAAAUGGAAUACAUCCAUGUAUCUGUUUCACAAGUAAGAUCUACAUAAAUAUGUUACCAAAAUACCAGCAGAAUCUACACUUGAUAUCAUACUUGGCUACAUUAAAUGUCUGUUAUGAUCCAUGUC